rnacentral:rRNA from 1 species
AGCAGUCGCGCGGUAAUACAGAGGGUGCAAGCGUUAAUCGGAAUUACUGGGCGUAAAGCGCGCGUAGGUGGUUCGCCAAGUUGGAUGUGAAAUCCCCGGGCUCAACCUGGGAACUGCAUCCAAAACUGGCGAGCUAGAGUAUGGUAGAGGGUGGUGGAAUUUCCUGUGUAGCGGUGAAAUGCGUAGAUAUAGGAAGGAACAUCAGUGGCGAAGGCGACCACCUGGACUGAUACUGACACUGAGGUGCGAAAGCGUGGGGAGCAAACAGGAUUAGAUACCCCCGUAGUCCCUGUCUCUUAUACA